rnacentral:rRNA from 1 species
AACAAACGCUGGCGGCGUGCCUAAUACAUGCAAGUCGAACGGUGAACGAGGGAGCUUGCUCCCUCCGGAUCAGUGGCGAACGGGUGAGUAACACGUGAGCAAUCUGCCCUGGACUCUGGGAUAAGCGUUGGAAACGACGUCUAAUACCGGAUACGAGACGCGAAGGCAUCUUCAGCGUCUGGAAAGAACUUCGGUCCAGGAUGAGCUCGCGGCCUAUCAGGUGGUUGGUGAGGUAACGGCUCACCAAGCCUACGACGGGUAGCCGGCCUGAGAGGGUGACCGGCCACACUGGGACUGAGACACGGCCCAGACUCCUACGGGAGGCAGCAGUGGGGAAUAUUGCACAAUGGGCGCAAGCCUGAUGCAGCAACGCCGCGUGAGGGACGACGGCCUUCGGGUUGUAAACCUCUUUUAGCAGGGAAGAAGCGAAAGUGACGGUACCUGCAGAAAAAGCACCGGCUAACUACGUGCCAGCAGCCGCCGUAACAC